rnacentral:rRNA from 1 species
AUGGUAUCGUAUAGAUUACAGGCCAAUCCUACUCUAUUAGUAUCCGUAGGCAGCAUAGGGGAGAAAAGCACUACACCUAGAAAUAGGAAUCAACAAGAGAAAAACUUUAAUGGUUGGGAUAACAAACAACCAUCAGGUUUGUACUUUGGAUAUCCCUAUAACCAUCAAAGAUCGUUGAAGUAG